AUCCUUUUGUAGUUCAUAAGCAUGAUAAUUGGGUUUUCAUGCUCAUGUGUGAGCCGUACCUCCCUUAAACCUUGUUAUGAUGUUGACACAUUACCUGUCUGACA
ensembl:snoRNA